GGAGGGAUGGCAGAGCGGACGAAUGCACCGGUCUUGAAAACCGACGUGGGGCAACUCACCGUGGGUUCAAAUCCCACUCCCUCCGC
rnacentral:tRNA from 1 species